rnacentral:rRNA from 1 species
GAUGAACGCUGGCGGCGUGCCUAAUACAUGCAAGUCGAGCGAACGGACGAGAAGCUUGCUUUUCUGAUGUUAGCGGCGGACGGGUGAGUAACACGUGGAUAACCUACCUAUAAGACUGGGAUAACUUCGGGAAACCGGAGCUAAUACCGGAUAAUAUUUUGAACCGCAUGGUUCAAAAGUGAAAGACGGUCUUGCUGUCACUUAUAGAUGGAUCCGCGCUGCAUUAGCUAGUUGGUAAGGUAACGGCUUACCAAGGCAACGAUGCAUAGCCGACCUGAGAGGGUGAUCGGCAAAACGGGAACUGAGACACGGUACAGACUCCUACGGGAGGCAGCAGUAGGGAAUCUUCCGCAAUGGGCGAAAGCCUGACGGAGCAACGCCGCGUGAGUGAUGAAGGUCUUCGGAUCGUAAAACUCUGUUAUUAGGGAAGAACAUAUGUGUAAGUAACUGUGCACAUCUUGACGGUACCUAAUCAGAAAGCCACGGCUAACUACGUG